rnacentral:rRNA from 1 species
GAUGAACGCUGGCGGCGUGCCUAAUACAUGCAAGUCGAGCGAAGCGGGGACGGGGGAGGAACAUGUGAAUAACCUCCUAUAAGACUGGGAUAAUAUCGGGAAACCGGAGCGAAACCGGAUCCUGAUAGAUGGCUCCGCGCUGCAUUAGCUAGUUGGUAAGGUAACGGCUUACCAAGGAAACGAUGCAGAGCCGCCCUGAGAGGGUGAUCGGCCACACUGGAACUGAGGCACUGUCCAGACUCCUACGGGAGGCAGCAGUAGGGAAGCGUCCGCAAUGGGCGAAAGCCUGACGGAGCAACGCCGCGUGGGUGAUUAAGGUCUUCGGAUCGUAAAGCUCUGUUAUUAGGUAAGCGGUACCUAAUCAGAAAGCCACGGCUAACUACGUGCCAGCAGCCGCGGUAAUAC